AUUGCAUAUAUAGACUGUGCUGCCUGCCUUGAGAGAGAUGCACCAUCUGCUCUCGAGGACCCUGUUCGUACUCCUGCAGACGUUAGAUAAACAUACUGGGGGAGCAGCAGACAGUUUUCAGUCAUGACGUAUCUGAGCUGUGUUUAAAGUCAAAAGCCGUUAUUUACAGCUUGUGAAGAGAGAGGACUCAUCAUCAAGGGCAAUACAUUAGAUCCAUUGCAGUUUGAAAACAAACACUGCACUAUACAUUGAAAGGGUUCACCUGGCAUCACUUCAGAAUCGGAGUGUGUGUGUAGCUUUUAUGAGAGAAAUCCAAACCAGUUGCAUUAAUAACUGAGACGACACCCCCAAGCCUUCAGAUAAUGAGGGCAGCCAGCCCAGCAGUGGCCCGCGACCUGCUGCCUGGGUAGCAGUGUGGUGGUAGUCGGUUCCAGAGCUGAAGGAAAGGAGUCCAGGGGGGGUACUGCCAGGACUUACAUGCUCACAGGAGUAUCAUGAGACUUCAUGUACUAAGGAUUUGGAAGCGCACUGAGAUACUUGGAUGACAUGAGUGUUAUGGGCUCCCUUCUGCAAGCUGCUCAGCAUUCUCUGCCGGGUCCAGCAAAGCACUAAGCCGACUGAUGCCACCACCAGACAGGUCCCAUCAAAUGUGAACAAACUUCUCCACUGUCUAAUCAGCACACUGACUAAUCAGCACAUCACAGAAUAAACCCUAUUCAAUUCACGGCAGAAGCAGUCUGGCCUAUAGAUGACUAGUCUUUUUAUUGUUGUAUAUUGACACAUCUUGUGCAUCUUCACAACUAGUAUCCAGUUUCUCUGAGUGACAGCUACAUUAAGAUAAUAAACAGAAGCCCAAAUCCUGGUCCCACUGAAGUCAAUAGCUAAAACUGUGACUGUGGUCCUCAACCUUUUCCAUACCGUGAUUCCACGUUACAAUGGAAAAAUGCAUUGGGACCCCCUUUCCCACCUAACCAUAAAUAUUAGAAGGUAGUUGCAACCUCUGGGCCUGUUCAUACCCCCGAGCUAUGGACGAUGGGCUGGCAGCUUUCCAAGGAGUUCAGAGAUCAGCCUAGCUGAGGUGAGAAGCUAGCAAUAACGUUAUGUCCAGCAGCUCUCAAUACAACUCUGCAGACAGCCCCAAAAUUAAUUACACUGGUAUGUGCACAGUGUCACCAAUUGCAACAGUAUUCACAGUUGGUUGUUUUACUAAUGGCCCUCCUAGCCAAUAGGAAUAUAGUAACUGUGUAGUAAUCCAAUUUAGCUCACAUCCUCUGAACAAAUUAACCCUUGGGUUGCUGUAUUAAACUCACCAUGCAAAGCAUGUAUCUAUCAAGUGUCAAAAGAUACGAGGGCAGUCCAAUACCUGACAAAC